rnacentral:lncRNA from 1 species
GUGGACUGGACUCCGCCGUCCCCGUGUGAGGAGUCACCUUUAACAGACAGCAGUGUCAGAGAGGGACAGAACGGAUGAUAGCAACGCUUGUGAAGUGGAGGAACACUAGCAUUAUUCCUACUGACAGCUGUCCGUGUAUGCUGAAGUGUUCCUGUGGAUAUUAUGGGGUCGCUCUGACCACGGUCUCGGCUGCAGAGUCCACUUCGCAUUUUGAGCGACGCCCCCUAAAUUCCGUGCAGAGUGUUUGCAGACCCUCCGGGACGGAGAGGUGGAGGAGGAAUCGGGAGCUCCGCCGUCCAUAUACACCACAAUCAGCACGCCAUUAGUUCAUGACUUCAUUAUAUGUGUGACAGGAAGAGUUCGGGCCCUGUUUAGAAGCUCUCCAGGACUCUGAGGCUGCUGCAGAGAAUGGGAAUAGGGACACAGGCCAAGGCUUGCCAUUUUGGCUGAAGUAACAGCAGGACGGUUGUCAACCCCGCAUCGGCUUCAAUCCCCUUCUCCCUCACCUCUCCUCCCACACACACACACACACACACGCUCACACAAGGACAGACAC